AUUGAACGCUGGCGGCAUGCCUUACACAUGCAAGUCGAACGGCAGCACGGAGCUUGCUCUGGUGGCGAGUGGCGAACGGGUGAGUAAUAUAUCGGAACGUACCCAAGAGUGGGGGAUAACGUAGCGAAAGUUACGCUAAUACCGCAUACGAUCUAAGGAUGAAAGUGGGGGCUCGCAAGACCUCAUGCUCCUGGAGCGGCCGAUAUCUGAUUAGCUAGUUGGUGAGGUAAAGGGUCACCAAGGUAUCGAUCAGUAGCUGGUUUGAGCGGACGACCAGCCACACUGGAACUGCGCCACGGUCCAGACUCCUACGGGAGGCAGCAGUGGGGAAUUUUGGACAAUGGGGGCAACCCUGAUCCAGCAAUGCCGCGUGAGUGAAGAAGGCCUUCGGGUUGUAAAGCUCUUUUGUCAGGGAAGAAACGGUGAAGGCUAAUAUCCUUUGCUAAUGACGGUACCUGAAGAAUAAGCACCGGCUAACUACGUGCCAGCCGCCGCCGUAAUAC
rnacentral:rRNA from 1 species